GUCGCCAUUUGCUAGUUCUUUGUCGUGUAUGAUAUUGGUGUCGUGCAUCUGACAGGCGAAAUAUUGGACACAUGAGGCAGCAAUGGUAAAGUAAUACUUGAGUGAAUGUUUCGCCAAGAAAACAUUGAUGAAAUUCACCAGCACCAGAAGCUUUAGUCUGAGAAUACCUAAUAUUUGAAACUCCUUUUUAAAUUACAAAAUGAAUGAGAAUAUCACAAGUUGUGAACAAGACAUCGUGGUGCCUUGGUCCUCGUUCUCUCAUCUCCAUGCCAGAUGGCCAUUAAGAAGGAUUGUAAAUGUAUGGAUUGUGGUUCCAGCGGUUUCCUUAGCUUGUGAGCACUGAGAAAAGAUUGUUGCUGAUGUAGAGUUUUGUACUGGUGGACCCCACAGUCCAUGACAGAAACAAAUAGGACAGAAAAUUCCAUCUUCAUCACUAAUAAAAGAAAAGGCAUAUUUUUAGAUUGGCUUAAUUGAUCUACUGUUUUUCUGUCUAGGGUCACAAGUGUCAUGAAGCUGGCCACACCUCGAAAGGCUGCCCGAAUCUAUUCAGUGAAUUGACAGAAAGUUGGAAACAACAUGAGCAAUACAUUCCGGAAGCUGUGACAUACGAUGAAAAGGAACUGUUUAAGGGCAUCGUCUAUGGGGAACGCUUUAACAAUUUGGAAAAAUUCAUCCUUCAGGUUACAGGAAAAGAAGUACCUCAAUACAUAACACCAUUCGAAGAAGCCGUCCUGCGCCAGCUACUACUUCAAAACAUUAAAAAUUCUGGCUACAUAAAACCAACACAUGUUCAGAAAGCUUCAGUUGCAGUUGAAGUAAAAGUAAUUUGCGUGGGCACGCCGGUAAUUACGACUACUGAACGGUCCAAUUGCAUCUAAG